rnacentral:rRNA from 1 species
CACGUAGGGCGCAAGCGUUGUCCGGAAUUAUUGGGCGUAAAGAGCUCGUAGGCGGUCUGUUGCGUCCGCUGUGAAAACUCGGGGCUUAACCCCGAGCCUGCAGUGGAUACGGGCAGGCUAGAGGUAGGUAGGGGAGAACGGAAUUCCUGGUGUAGCGGUGAAAUGCGCAGAUAUCAGGAGGAACACCGGUGGCGAAGGCGGUUCUCUGGGCCGAUAUUGACGCUGAGGAGCGAAAGCGUGGGGAGCGAACAGG